rnacentral:rRNA from 1 species
GAUGAACGCUGGCGGCGUGCCUAACACAUGCAAGUCGAACGGUCCUGGAAGCUGGAAGCUGGCGACUGGAAACUGGCUUGCCAGCGACCAGUAACUAGCAACUGGCAACCAGGAUAGUGGCGAACGGGUGAGUAACACGUAGGUGACCUGCCCCGAAGAGGGGGAUAACCGCUGGAAACGGCGGCUAAUACCCCAUGUAGUCGUGAGGGUUAGAGGCCUCAUGAUUAAAGCUCCGGCGCUUUGGGAGGGGCCUGCGGCUUAUCAGCUAGUUGGUGGGGUAAUGGCUCACCAAGGCAAUAACGGGUAGCUGGUCUGAGAGGACGAUCAGCCACAUGGGCACUGAGACACGGGCCCGACUCCUACGGGAGGCAGCAGUGGGGGAUAUUGCGCAAUGGGCGAAAGCCUGACGCAGCAACGCCGCGUGGGCGAUGAAGGCCUUCGGGUUGUAAAGCCCUUUUCUGGGGGAAGAGGAAGGACGGUACCCCAGGAAUAAGUCCCGGCUAACUACGUGCCAGCAGCCGCGGUAAAACGUAGGGGACAAGUGUUAUCCGGAUUCACUGGGCGUAAAGCGCGUGCAGGUGGUGCUUUAAGUUGGGCGUGAAAUCUCCCGGCUUAACUGGGAGGAGUCGUUCAAUACUGGAGCACUUGAGGGCAGGAGAGGGAGGUGGAAUUCCCGGUGUAGUGGUGAAAUGCGUAGAUAUCGGGAGGAACACCAGUGGCGAAGGCGGCCUCCUGGCCUGCUUCUGACACUAAGACGCGAAAGCUAGGGGAGCAAACGGGAUUAGAUACCCCGGUAGUCCUAGCCGUAAACGAUGGAUACUAGGUGUGGGUGGCAUUGACCCCAUCCGUGCCGAAGCUAACGCGAUAAGUAUCCCGCCUGGGGACUACGGCCGCAAGGUUAAAACUCAAAGGAAUUGACGG